UACGUAGGGUGCGAGCGUUGAUCGGAAUUACUGGGCGUAAAGCGUGCGCAGGCGGUUUUGUAAGCCAGAUGUGAAAUCCCCGGGCUUAACCUGGGAAUGGCAUUUGGGACUGCAAGGCUCGAGUGCGGCAGAGGAGACUGGAAUUCCUGGUGUAGCAGUGAAAUGCGUAGAUAUCAGGAGGAACACCGAUGGCGAAGGCAGGUCUCUGGGCUGACACUGACGCUCAUGCACGAAAGCGUGGGGAGCAAACAGG
rnacentral:rRNA from 1 species